rnacentral:tRNA from 1 species
GCCGGAGUGGUGAAACUGGUAGACGCGCUGGACUCAAAAUCCAGUGAGCUUUACGCUCGUGUCGGUUCAAGUCCGACCUUCGGCA